CUCGCAAACCGGAUUGAGACCUGUGAAUGGUUGAUGCGUUUCUCUUCCGUCUUGAAGAGCAAAUUCAAUCCAGACUCCAAAACCUUUUUGAGCUGAAAGACUUUGGUGCGUAGAAAGGUUUCCUGGAAAACCUAAAAUGCAGACACCCGACGAUGUUCGAAAUCUUCCCCAUCGACAUGACAUCACCUUCUCUCGCCUCGUCGAAUGGUUUGGUGGAUGGGAGGAAGGUGGCAGCGAUCAGAGUCAAAAUCUUGAAAGAGUUCUCAUCUUUGCUUAAAGACAUUGAAGUAAACACCAUAAGCAUGCGUGAGCUUGGCUCUGUCUGAUGCUGAUUAGUGACACCGGUCGUUUUCUCAUCCAAGUGACCCUUCUUUUACUUCCAGUGAUUAGUUACUUGGAGGCCAAAAAGAUCUUUGAUUUCUUGGGAUGUCAGUGUUGAAGCACCUGUGGUAGAAGAAAAUAGCUGAUUCAGCUUUGCUAGAAACAGGCCAGGAGUAAUCAGACACAGUUGAGAGGUUCCACAACUCUAGUCUUAGGUAGUGGAGACAGAAUAUAGGAACAAGAUCCUUGAUGAUAUUUAUGAGGUUAAGGCAUUUUUGAACCAGCGUUUGAUAGAACUGAGAAACGAAGAUACUCUGUCCUUGCAACACCAUGCGCAACCAGUUGCCCCCUUGGUUCUUCAGCAUUAUUCUCCUGAAUCAUCGAGCCAGUGGUGGUUGAUAUCUACAUGGCCAUCUCAUUGCUAACAAACAGGAUAUCUCGGGAUCUGAAUUCUCAACUCCAAAAGAUGCCUAGAUAGACUUGUUUCGGAGCUGGAGGAGAAGAAACACCGUGAAGCGAAGUUAAGAGAGAGCUUGAAAGAUCAGAACUCAUUCUCUUGAAUAUGGCCAAAACAGUAAAGAAAAUGUGUAUGAAGAAGAGAUACAGAAAAAUGGUCAGUUGGAGAGGUGGGUGAAGGUAGGUGAGGAGGGGAAACGUGUGCGUGUUGAGUAGAAAGAUUUACUAAAAGGGUCAACCUCUGUCUUGUCUGCUACACUGCUUGCUGCUUCCUUGUUCUGUUUCUGUAUCAAUCCAGUGAGUGCUUCCACUAUUUCUGAAACCUCUGGUCUAAACUCCUCUGCCUGCUUGUUGGAAGAAUGAUUUAGCUAUUUUAUUUGCAAGUGAUGAAUCUACUGACAGUUACCUGAGUGCAUAGAGAGAUGAUGAAUGCGUAGUGUGAGGCGACUCUUAAGGAGAAUGUGCCGGCUAUGCCUUGAUCAAUCAUCUGUUCUAAGCUUCGCUUGUCAUGAAGUCUGGUUGAUGCCCAUUUCACCAGUAGCUGUUCUCCUUGGGGUCGUGAGCUGCAAAUAAUUUUGUUUAGCUUAUCUAUUGCACCCGGCAAAGUAUGUGAAAAGCUUCUGUACCUGUCAAAUGCUUUCCUUCCUGUUAACAGCUCCAAGAGUAGUACACCCAGUGCAUAAGUGUCGCUCUUUGUGCCGCUGCUUCCUGGCUGUCCAUGUUCUGGUGCUAUGUAGCCAGUGUUUUGUAUCGCUAUCUCUGAAGCCUGCUUCAAAUCUCAACUCAUUAGUUACCAGUAAAAGAACGAAGCGCCAGAGCAUGUACCGUUCUUCACUUACCCGAAGCUUGACACUGUUGCUUGUGAGUGGCCUUAAACUAGCAAGCCCACAGUCAGCAAUCCGAGGCGUGAGUUCUUCGUCUAGUAAGAUGUUUGUUGCUUUCAGGUCGCUAUGGGCAAUAGGAGGGUUGAACGACGAGUGCAAAUAGCUGAAAUUUUUGAUUCAUCAGAUAUUGAGUGAUGGUGUCAAAGUAAGUCUCUGCAAGGAUUGGGAGUAAGCUACUUUUAUGUUUGAGAAGAUAAGUAUACUUACUCUACAGCUCGGGCAACUCCGAUAGCAAUGUGGAGACGGAAGCCCCAAGAAAGUGGCUUGUAUACAUCAUCAUGCAUAGCAUUGUACAGCGACAAAUGCCCGGCAUACUCAUAGACAAGAAGAUGCUUCCCAUUAUCAAUGCAGAAACCGAGAAGUGUCACAAUGUUUGGGUGUCUUAGUUUGGAGGCUGUUUGGAGAAGUUCAGUAAAUUUUUCCUCUUCAUGUAAAGACAGCGAAGACAUUGGGAUGUUUCUUACAGCGGCCAACUGUUUUAAAGAAAAACACCAGUGAGUGACAUUGAAAGUUUCCCAUUUUUGAAGAGAGAGAGAGAAGAGAAGUUAUACUUGACCAUCAGGCAACUUUGCUCUGUAAACAGAACCAAGAGGACCCUCUUCGAGUAUGUUUUCAUCACUGAAACUGUUAGUUGCCAGUUCAAGCUCAGCAGCUGAGAAAAGCUUCGCGUAUGCUGGAUAUUGGCAUGUAGCAGAGAAGCUGUUUCGUCUUGCUGUUUUAUCGGUUCUGACAGGUGGAGGAGGUAUAUGUCUCAGCUGAAGAACUGGCGGUGCAAUAGAAAAUUCUGUUAAAUCUGAAGGUAAAAAAAAAUCAGUCCUGAGGAAUCAGAGAAUGGCUAUGGUGAUAACUGAUAAUUAGGGGAGAGAAAGGUAUAGAUCACCUCGGUUUGUACUGACUGGAAGAGAGUAUGUUGUGCUAUUGCUGCUUCUUUGACUCGCAGCAAGGUUCGGUGAACGUCGAUGAUGACUCAUUCGAACUGCAAAAACUGCAAAGAAAGUUCCAAGCAAAGCCAAUCCGCCAACCAGCAAAACAAUACUCACUGCUCCUAAGCCCUUCUUCUUCUUUCUGACCUUCUGAGGUCUGGGAAAGUCCAUGAUGGCACUAGACUGAGUCGUUGGAUAGCCACGGGCAUUUUGAAUCAUCGGUAUGACGUCCAGAGGGAACUUCCACGGUUUAUAGUUGGGCUCUACAUGAAACUUGUUUCCCCAAAUCCUGCUCAGCAAAACACCACUGAUUAUACUGAUUCUUAGGUGUCUGAGCCAAUUUUUGAGAAGAGAGGGGUAAUAACUCACCACAGAUGAGGAAUGGACUGAAAACUACUAGGGAAGAUACCACUGAACUGGUUAUCUUCAAUAUUCCUGAAGACAUGUGCAACAACGAAGCGUUUUUGAGCUCAUUAAAAUCAAGGAAGAAGCUCAAUGAAAUGCAAAAUCAAAGCAUAAAGAGAGUUAACUACAGGUCAGUUAAAGGAAGAUCUGCGAGAUAGAUGAUAGAUCCUGUAAACCUGUUGUUCUGAAGGUACCUGCAUUUUUGUUAUCACAGCAGAAAAACCAUUAUUAAGUUACAAAGCAGACUACAGAUAAGAUUUGGAGAUAGCUUACAGUGAAUUCAGAUUCAUUAGAGUUCCAAAAGAGCUCGGUAGAUCUCCCGUCAAGUUGUUGAAUGAGAGAUCCCUGGCAAAGUCAAAUAUCAUUUGAAGAUGAAUGAGGUAUCGUGCAUCUACAUAUCACGAUGAAAGGCUAACAGAAGACUCACAUUUCUUUGAUCUGUAACCCGGAAAACACAUUUGCCAGAGGUCCAGAUAAUGAAUUAUGGCUCAGGUUCCUAGAAGACAGAGCAAGCCAUUACUUAACAGAUCAGCAGAAAGCAAGGUUAGAUUGUUAUAAGCUACUUACAGAGAGAGAAGAGAUGUCAUGAGAGGUAAAGAGAAAAGGAGACUCUGAGUCAGAUUGUUAUAAGCCAUGUUUCUGUAAUCAAACAAACAAAGGAGAAAAUCUUCUGAACUGCACUCUGCUGGUGUAAAGCUUAAAUGAUGAACAACGCUUACAAGUGGGUAGCGUUUGGAGGCAAGCCAAAAGGAAUGUCACCUUGGAGGUUAUUGAAGCUAACAUCCCUAUACACAAAGCAAAAAGGAUUUUAGUGAUUCAAAGUCUCUAACAAUCAAGAAGAGGGAAACUUUGCUUUACAUGUUCUUCAAACUGUGGAGACGGUGAAGGUUGUUUCCAAGACUCCCCAAAAGACUUAGCCCUCGUAGCUGCCUGCGAGAUCAUAUGAAUCAGAUUGUUUUUGUUCGAAACUAUGAUAAUACUGUGGGGGAGAGAAAUUACAAGGCUACUAUAGACGAUCCAGAACAGUAAACUCCAAUCCAGAGUUCUCCGCAUGGAUCUCCUCCUCCCUCGAAUCUCCAUCCUCUCAGCUGCUGUGGAUUGUUUAAAGACUUGUGGAGAUCUUCAAGAGCCGAAACUAACAAAGAAACAAGUAACAGCAAAAGAUCUAAGCACGCGAUUUAAACCCCAAGAAUCAGGUGAGAAUCUAGAUAAUUAAUUACCUUCGAGUGGAUUAGUAUAGGUCUCAGCCAGCGUAAAAAGCAUCACCGUGGAGAUAAUUGCAGCGAGGUAACGCGAUUGCUGUUUGGUUGUCAUCUCGGGGAAGUUUCUCUCGCUUUCCGGGAAAGUUUCGGAGGAGAGAAAGAUCAAAAACAGAACGGAAGCGUAAACGCGCGAAGAUUCCACGUCAGCAGAAGCGGUUACGGACGUUGGAGUCAACAAGUCAACUAGUCAUACCGUAUACGGGCCUCGCCUUGCCACGUGGCCGUAUUUUUAAGCGGUCCUUUAGUUAAAUUUUUAUUUUUGAAAGAAUGUAAAAUUUAUUCCAGUAGAAAAUUAUAGUUACAUAAUGAAUGUUACUUUGUUGACAAGUUCUGGAGUACAUUUUUUUAUCCUUUAGUUAAAUGUUUUUUUUCUUUG